UACGUAGGGUGCAAGCGUUAAUCGGAAUUACUGGGCGUAAAGCGUGCGCAGGCGGUUAUGUAAGACAGAUGUGAAAUCCCCGGGCUCAACCUGGGAACUGCAUUUGUGACUGCAUAGCUUGAGUGCGGCAGAGGGGGAUGGAAUUCCGCGUGUAGCAGUGAAAUGCGUAGAUAUGCGGAGGAACACCGAUGGCGAAGGCAAUCCCCUGGGCCUGCACUGACGCUCAUGCACGAAAGCGUGGGGAGCAAACAGG
rnacentral:rRNA from 2 species